UACGUAGGUGGCAAGCGUUGUCCGGAAUUAUUGGGCGUAAAGCGCGCGCAGGCGGUCCUUUAAGUCUGAUGUGAAAGCCCACGGCUCAACCGUGGAGGGUCAUUGGAAACUGGGGGACUUGAGUGCAGGAGAGAAGAGUGGAAUUCCACGUGUAGCGGUGAAAUGCGUAGAAGAUGUGGAGGAACACCAGUGGCGAAGGC
rnacentral:rRNA from 1 species